rnacentral:lncRNA from 1 species
UGAGAUCGCGCCACUGCCUGCACUCCAGCCUAGGAAACAGAGGACCCUGAGGGUACCAGCAAAAGCCCUUUGAGCCCCUCCAGCUCCUCCAAGAUUGCAGACAACUGGCUGCAUUUCUCCUGAGUCUCAGACUUCCCACAUAAUUCCGGUCCUGAGUUCUGUUCGGCUAGAUAUUCUCACUCCUCGAUGAAGUCGUGAGUUUUUCCUUGAGACUUUUUGUUUCUCAGGAAGGGGGUAAUCACUCUGGGGUUCUCCCCUGUGUGCACGUGGAUAACUGUAUGCCAUUUCUCUUGCUCAACUCCUUUGUGAGGUGAUUUUUCAGUGAACUUUCAGAAGGCAAAGGGGAAGCUUUCCCUUGGACCCUACAGUUUUGGUGCUGUGGGCAGGCUCACCAAAGCCACUCUGCUCUUCUAGAAGCCACAGUGAAGGGAACCCAGGGCUUGACAACGGGCAAAAGGGUAAGAAUUCCUCAACAGUCAGGCUCCCAGCCUGUCUUCCUGUGAAACCCAGUUGAGCAGACAGGAAAAAAAUAACCGUUUAUCUCCUCUACAUAAUCUCAAUUAAUGGGAGUGAUAUGGUUUGGCUCUGUUUCCACAAAACUCUCACCUUGAAUUGUAGUAAUCCCCAUGUGUCAUGGGAGGAACCCAGUGGGAGGUAAUUGAAUCAUGGGGGCAGAUUUUUCCCAUGCUGUUCUGAUAGUGAAUAAGUCUCACAAGAUCUGAUGGUUUUAUAAAGGGGAGUUCCACUGCACACGCUCUCUCUUGCCUGCCGCCAUGUAUGACAUCCCUUUGCGCUUCCUUCAUCUUCCACCCUGAUUGUGAGGCCUUCCCAGCCAUGUGAAACUGUGAGUCCAUUAAAUGUCUUUUCUUUAUAAAUUAC